AAACCAACAGGGAUUGCCCUAGUAACGGCGAGUGAAGCGGCAACAGCUCAAAUUUGAAAGCUGGCCUUCGGGUCCGCAUUGUAAUUUGUAGAGGAUGCUUUGGGGCAGCCGCCUGUCUAAGUUCCUUGGAACAGGACGUCAUAGAGGGUGAGAAUCCCGUAUGUGACAGGACAUGGCACCCUAUGUAAAGCUCCUUCGACGAGUCGAGUUGUUUGGGAAUGCAGCUCUAAAUGGGAGGUAAAUUUCUUCUAAAGCUAAAUACCGGCGAGAGACCGAUAGCGCACAAGUAGAGUGAUCGAAAGAUGAAAAGCACUUUGGAAAGAGAGUUAAAAAGCACGUGAAAUUGUUGAAAGGGAAGCGCUUGCAAUCAGACUUGUUUUGACUGUUCGGCCGGUCUUCUGACCGGUUUAUUCAGUCUGGACAGGCCAGCAUCAGUUUUGGCGGCCGGAUAAAGGCCCAGGGAAUGUGGCUCUCGCUUCGGCGGGAGUGUUAUAGCCCUGGGUGUAAUACGGCCAGCCGGGACUGAGGUCCGCGCUUCGGCUAGGAUGCUGGCGUAAUGGUUGUAAGCGAC
rnacentral:rRNA from 1 species